GGACCCGUAGCGUAAUGGAUAGCGCGUCAGCCUCCGGAGCUGAAGGUUGUGAGUUCGAGUCUCACCGGGUCCGCCA
rnacentral:tRNA from 1 species